AACGAACGCUGGCGGCGUGCCUAAUACAUGCAAGUCGAACGAGAACAGUCCCUUCGGGAACUCAGUAAAGUGGCGCACGGGUGCGUAACACGUGGGUAACCAACCUUAGGGUUCGGGACAACACUUCGAAAGAGGUGCUAAUACCGGAUAAGACCACGCCCUCUUCGGGGGGUGAGGUAAAAGGUGGCCUCGCCUUGGAAGCUAUCGCCUUUUGACGGGCCCGCGGCCCAUCAGUUUGUUGGUGAGGUAACGGCUCACCAAGACUAAGACGGGUAGCUGGUCUGAGAGGAUGUCCAGCCACACUGGAACUGAGACACGGUCCAGACUCCUACGGGAGGCAGCAGUAGGGAAUAUUGCGCAAUGGGCGAAAGCCUGACGCAGCGACGCCGCGUGAGUGAUGAAGGCCUUCGGGUCGUAAAGCUCUGUUGGAGAGGGACGAAUCUGGUGGAGGAAUAACACCCUCCAUCACUGACGGUACCUCUUCAGAAAGCACCGGCUAACUCUGUGCCAGCAGCCGCCGUAAGAC
rnacentral:rRNA from 1 species